GCCCCUAUAGCACAACGGAGAGUGCACGCGCCUUCUAAGCGUGUGAUGUAGGUUCGAUUCCUACUGGGGGUGCCA
rnacentral:tRNA from 1 species